rnacentral:rRNA from 1 species
UACGUAGGGUGCAAGCGUUAAUCGGAAUUACUGGGCGUAAAGCGUGCGCAGGCGGUUUUGUAAGUCAGAUGUGAAAUCCCCCGGGCUUAACCUGGGAACUGCGUUUGAAACUACAAGGCUAGAGUGUGGCAGAGGGGGGUGGAAUUCCACGUGUAGCAGUGAAAUGCGUAGAGAUGUGGAGGAACACCGAUGGCGAAGGCAGCCCCCCUGGGUUAACACUGACGCUGAGAAGCGAAAGCAUGGGGAGCGAACAGG